rnacentral:rRNA from 1 species
CAGCAGCCGCGGUAAUACGGAGGGUGUUAGCGUUAAUCGGAAUUACUGGGCGUAAAGCGCGCGUAGGUGGUUAGGUAAGCGAGAUGUGAAAGCCCCGGGCUUAACCUGGGAACGGCAUUUCGAACUGUCUGACUAGAGUGUGGUAGAGGGUAGUGGAAUUUCCUGUGUAGCGGUGAAAUGCGUAGAUAUAGGAAGGAACACCAGUGGCGAAGGCGGCUACCUGGACCAACACUGACACUGAGGUGCGAAAGCGUGGGGAGCAAACAGGAUUAGAUACCCUGGUAGUCCACGCCGUAAACGAUGUCAACUAGCCGUUGGGACUCUUGAAGUCUUAGUGGCGCAGCUAACGCACUAAGUUGACCGCCUGGGGAGUACGGCCGCAAGGUUAAAACUCAAAUGAAUUGACGGGGGCCCGCACAAGCGGUGGAGCAUGUGGUUUAAUUCGACGCAACGCGAAGAACCUUACCUGGCCUUGACAUCCAGAGAACUUUCCAGAGAUGGAUUGGUGCCUUCGGGAACUCUGAGACAGGUGCUGCAUGGCCGUCGUCAGCUCGUGUCGUGAGAUGUUGGGUUAAGUCCCGUAACGAGCGCAACCCCUAUCCCUGGUUGCUAGCAGGUAAUGCUGAGAACUCCAGGGAGACUGCCGGUGACAAACCGGAGGAAGGUGGGGAUGACGUCAGGUCAUCAUGGCCCUUACGGCCAGGGCUACACACGUGCUACAAUGGCGCGUACAGAGGGCUGCCAACUCGCGAGAGUGCGCCAAUCCCUUAAAACGCGUCGUAGUCCGGAUCGGAGUCUGCAACUCGACUCCGUGAAGUCGGAAUCGCUAGUAAUCGCGAAUCAGAAUGUCGCGGUGAAUACGUUCCCGGGCCUUGUACACACCGCCCGU